GACGAACGCUGGCGGCGUGCCUAAUACAUGCAAGUCGAGCGAGCGGAACUAACAGAUUUACUUCGGUAAUGACGUUAGGAAAGCGAGCGGCGGAUGGGUGAGUAACACGUGGGGAACCUGCCCCAUAGUCUGGGAUACCACUUGGAAACAGGUGCUAAUACCGGAUAAGAAAGCAGAUCGCACGAUCAGCUUUUAAAAGGCGGCGUAAGCUGUCGCUAUGGGAUGGCCCCGCGGUGCAUUGGCUAGUUGGUAAGGUAAAGGCUUACCAAGGCGAUGAUGCAUAGCCGAGUUGAGAGACUGAUCGGCCACAUUGGGACUGAGACACGGCCCAAACUCCUACGGGAGGCAGCAGUAGGGAAUCUUCCACAAUGGACGCAAGUCUGAUGGAGCAACGCCGCGUGAGUGAAGAAGGUUUUCGGAUCGUAAAGCUCUGUUGUUGGUGAAGAAGGAUAGAGGUAGUAACUGGCCUUUAUUUGACGGUAAUCAACCAGAAAGUCACGGCUAACUACGUGCCAGCAGCCGCGGUAAUACGUAGGUGGCAAGCGUUGUCCGGAUUUAUUGGGCGUAAAGCGAGCGCAGGCGGAAGAAUAAGUCUGAUGUGAAAGCCCUCGGCUUAACCGAGGAACUGCAUCGGAAACUGUUUUUCUUGAGUGCAGAAGAGGAGAGUGGAACUCCAUGUGUAGCGGUGGAAUGCGUAGAUAUAUGGAAGAACACCAGUGGCGAAGGCGGCUCUCUGGUCUGCAACUGACGCUGAGGCUCGAAAGCAUGGGUAGCGAACAGG
rnacentral:rRNA from 1 species